rnacentral:lncRNA from 1 species
GCAAAUGCUCGAACUCUUCCUCUAGAAGAUUUUCCACCUCUAAUGCUUCUACCAUGAAAUUUUUCAUUGGAUUUGGGUGCAUUAUAUUAAGGUUGAAUGUUAGGAAAUGUUAGUACCUUUGAUUCAUCAAGAGGUAAAAUAGUCUAUCGUUCUUGUUGCACAAGAAGUGAAUAAACUCUACAAAUGGUUAGAAAGGGUUCCAUUAACAUAAUUU